GUCGUAACAAGGUUUCCGUAGGGGAACCUGCGGAAGGAUCAUU
rnacentral:rRNA from 1 species